GGAGGCUUUCUCAUUCCCCAGAUUUGUCUAAUUUUACCUUUGGAGGGAGCAGCACCAUACUGUAGGCUAUGAGCAGAAAAAAGUUAGAGACAGUGUGACCUGUAGAUGGAUCAUUUUCCUCCCUCAGAUGUGCCUACUAAGAGAGGGACUCUGACCACGCGCUGCCCCCUCAUAAGGCUCCCAUCACAUGGGUUAGGAAAAGCCGACAUGUUCCGAUGACCACAGCCAUCUGGACCAGGGAUCAACUGCACCUGUGCCACACAGGCCAGCACAGCUCAGAUGCACACCAUGGGUCAGCUGCGUCUGAGGAGGCAGAGACAAUAACACCAUGGACUCUCCAUCCAGAUCGCCGGUCAAAUCCUGCCUCUGCCCCUUAUCAGCUCUGACUUGUCACAAGUC